UACGAAGGGGGCUAGCGUUGCUCGGAAUCACUGGGCGUAAAGCGCACGUAGGCGGCUUUUUAAGUCAGGGGUGAAAUCCUGGAGCUCAACUCCAGAACUGCCUUUGAUACUGAGAAGCUUGAGUCCGGGAGAGGUGAGCGGAACUGCGAGUGUAGAGGUGAAAUUCGUAGAUAUUCGCAAGAACACCAGUGGCGAAGGCGGCUCACUGGCCCGGUACUGACGCUGAGGUGCGAAAGCGUGGGGAGCAAACAGG
rnacentral:rRNA from 1 species